GUAGGUGGCAAGCGUUGUCCGGAAUUAUUGGGCGUAAAGCGCGCGCAGGCGGUCCUUUAAGUCUGAUGUGAAAGCCCACGGCUCAACCGUGGAGGGUCAUUGGAAACUGGGGGACUUGAGUACAGAAGAGGAAAGCGGAAUUCCAAGUGUAGCGGUGAAAUGCGUAGAGAUUUGGAGGAACACCAGUGGCGAAGGCGGCUUUCUGGUCUGUAACUGACGCUGAGGCGCGAAAGCGUGGGGAGCAAACAGGAUUAGAUACCCUGGUAGUCCACGCCGUAAACGAUGAGUGCUAAGUGUUAGGGGGUUUCCCGCCCCCCUUAGUGCUGCAGCUAACGCAUUAAGCACUCCGCCUGGGGAGUACGCCCGCAAGGCUG
rnacentral:rRNA from 1 species